rnacentral:rRNA from 1 species
GUACACUCCUACGGGAGGCAGCAGUGGGGAAUCUUGCGCAAUGGGCGAAAGCCUGACGCAGCCAUGCCGCGUGAAUGAUGAAGGUCUUAGGAUUGUAAAAUUCUUUCACCGGGGACGAUAAUGACGGUACCCGGAGAAGAAGCCCCGGCUAACUUCGUGCCAGCAGCCGCGGUAAUACGAAGGGGGCUAGCGUUGCUCGGAAUUACUGGGCGUAAAGGGAGCGUAGGCGGACAUUUAAGUCAGGGGUGAAAUCCCGGGGCUCAACCUCGGAAUUGCCUUUGAUACUGGGUGUCUUGAGUAUGAGAGAGGUGUGUGGAACUCCGAGUGUAGAGGUGAAAUUCGUAGAUAUUCGGAAGAACACCAGUGGCGAAGGCGACACACUGGCUCAUUACUGACGCUGAGGCUCGAAAGCGUGGGGAGCAAACAGGAUUAGAUACCCUAGUAGUCCC